CCUGGGUCUCAACCCAGAAUGGGCCUUCUGCACCCAGCUCAGAGCCAUGAGGGGCCCUCUGCAGAAGCAGAUGGCACUGCUGGUGUCCAGCUGCCUGCCUGCCUGCACGCUGCGGCCGGCCAUGGCCUCAAAACCCUGUGAGGCCCAAGUCUACUCCCUCACACUUCAAGAGCCCCGAACUGGCUCUCCACCGUGGAGCUCCCAGCCCAGAACCCAUGAUCAGAGGGGCCAGGUCCCUUCUUGAAAGGAGGAGAUCCAGUGUUGCAGAAGAAAAAAAAUUAAGAUGCCUCUUAGGAAUACUUCAUCCCCGAGUGGUCGGACCUACAUUUAUUCUUCUGUCAGCUCGGCGUUCCGGAUGGUUCCGGCUUUCUUUCACCUCUGGAUGGAUCGCACAGCGCUGCUUAACCCCUCAGCCAGGAACGGUUACUACCUCCAAGGGAGCCACGCAAGCUGGGGCAUUGAGGAAAACCAGCCAUACCUGCCCAGGGAUUUGCACUGGGGAUUCUCGGCUCGUACUUCACUUGAGUCACUGAACAGAAGAGGCGCUUUUCCACGGCCGCCACCCACUUAGGGAUGACGGAGCGAUGCCACCUCCUCGGCAUGACAUCUCACAUCUAGACACCAGGAUUUAACAUCUGCUGUAAAUGUAGGAUGUUCAAGAAACUUGCAAGGCUCUGCUCAGCGAUAUUGUCACCUAAGGAGGAAAGCAAAAGGUUAAGUUUAUUUAAGACGGGAAUGGACUUGUCAAGCCCCUGAAUGAAAUGAUUUUGAGGAAAAUGCUUAAUGCAUUAACUCUAAAGUGUUUCCAUAUUAUCAACAGCCCUCCUUGAUUAUGUAAAUUGGCAAUAAAUGAUUGGCAUUCACAAAUGUGCCUCCAAGCAGCUUAUGGAUAAUUAGUAAGGCAUGUAGGAAUCCAGUUGUAGAAGGCAAUUGUGACAAAUUCACAAAAUAAUGACUCUGUAUUAAUAGUUAAUGAAGCAUGUCAAAAAGUGCUUCCUUGUUGGGUUCUUCCUCUUCAAAAGUAUGUGUUAUCCUCUCUUCCUUCAGCUGGUCAAGCUCUCCAUUCCCCUCCCGCUUGCUUUGAGUCUCGGCCAAGGUUAAGAAAUUGGAAACUACCAUCCAGAAUGCGACACUAAACAAGAUUCAACAACUCCCUUCUCAAAUUUGUAAAUAUGCAGGAAUAUUAUCAACCAGAAUGCUCAAAUGUCAAAUGGUUUAACUAUCUGACUGGAUCGUUUCAUAAGUAAUGCACGUGUGCUUAAUAAAUAACAAGUACUAUUA